rnacentral:misc_RNA from 1 species
AAAGCUAUACGUGUGAAUACAUGAACAAGUAUACACUCAUGUUCCAGCACAGUGGCUCUGGGUUUGAUAUGCUCUUGUUCGGAGCUAAAUGAUAAAUACAUAACAUCAAAUAUUGGGGGGGAAAAAGAGAAAACACACAAGUAUCUGAGCCAGAGCAUAAAUGAAAAUUUGAUCUCGAGUUUGUACAUUUGUAUAUUAACUUAAAUGAGUCACAUAUAAAUCCUAACCUAGCCAACAAACACAACAUUAAUGAUAUCUGGGAACUUCUCCUUAAUUGCUGCUUUGAUUCCUGACCCAAUGGACUCGGGUCCUGAAUACUUCACAUGGCAUUCCCCACCCUCAACAGACAGUACUUCCACACUUCCACCAAAGUUUUUGAUUGCUGGUCUCAGUAUAUCGAGAUGACCAUUC